GAUGAACGCUGGCGGCGUGCCUAACACAUGCAAGUCGAGCGGGAUUCAUGAGGACGAAACUUCGGUCUAGAAAUCAUGAUGAGAGCGGCGGACGGGUGAGUAACGCGUAGGCAACCUGCCCUUAGCACAGGGAUAGCCUCGGGAAACCGGGAUUAAAACCUGAUAAUGCCAAACAGUCACAUGGCUGUUUGGCCAAAGAUUUAUCGGCUAAGGAUGGGCCUGCGUCUGAUUAGUUAGUUGGUGGGGUAACGGCCUACCAAGACGACGAUCAGUAGCCGACCUGAGAGGGUGGUCGGGCACAUUGGAACUGAGAAACGGGCCAAAAUCCUACGGGAGGCAGCAGUGGGGAAUAUUGCACAAUGGGCGAAAGCCUGAUGCAGCAACGCCGCGUGAGCGAUGAAGGCCUUUGGGUCGUAAAGCUCUGUCCUAGGGGACGAACAAAAUGACGGUACCCUUGGAGGAAGCCCCGGCUAACUACGUGCCAGCCGCCGCCGUAAGAC
rnacentral:rRNA from 1 species